rnacentral:rRNA from 1 species
GACGAACCGUGCGAACGUUGUUCGGAAUCACUGGGCUUAAAGGGCGCGUAGGCGGGCCUUCAAGUCCGGGGUGAAAUCCUCCCGCUUAACGGGAGAAGAGCCUCGGAGACUGAGGGCCUCGAGGGAGGUAGGGGCGUGCGGAACUAUGGGUGGAGCGGUGAAAUGCGAUUGAUAUCCAUAGGAACUCCGGUGGCGAAGGCGGCACGCUGGACCUCUUCUGACGCUGAGGCGCAAAAGCCAGGGGAGCAAACGGG